rnacentral:lncRNA from 1 species
GUAAUUGGCAUAGUCAGAAUGUUUGCAAAAGAAGGUUGUUUCUAUACAAAGCUAUGAUGAUCUACAACCUCGCACCACAAAGCUCAACUACUUGACUUAAUUCAUCACAUACAAGACUUUCGGCCUCUAGAAAUAAUGAAGGACAAGCUGAUUCAGUUUUCAUUGACAAAAGCUUCGAUAAGUAUCUUCAAUCAAGCUGGUCGCUUCCCUUUAGCGUCCAUGUCUGCAACAGUUUUCUCCAUCUUGAUGUUCACGUUCACCAAAAUCUGGAGCUCCUCUUCGUCACUUAUCCUUACCCAAGAUUUGAACAUGCGGGACAUUACUUCAUCAGUGUUAUUCAUCGUGGGAUUAACGACCUUCACGCUAUUGCUACUACAUUGACUGCUUGAGUCUUCUUUUACGACCCACUCCCAAAAUCCACAAUUUCGACGGCAGCAAAGGAAUAGUUUUCCCUUAUUGUGAUUCUCCUCUCCACCACAAAACAUUUCUCAAAUCUGUACUUACAUCUUGGGCAAGGACGUUUUCUUUUGCGUUUGGCAAACAAAUGGUCUUUAGCUUUACAACUAUGAUAGACUCCGGAGUUCCUUUUGGGCAUUCUACUAUGGGAAUAAAAAGUAGACAACAUUUAUCAAUUCAAGAAAUCCACAAACUGUGAAUACCCAACCAAAUAGGCUAAUUAAGAGUCAUUUUUGAAAAUGAAUUAUACGAAAUCACAACUACAAGACUACCUAGACACAUCGACCACUACCUAAUCACAGCAAACAAGUCAAUUACCAAAGGACAUAGCAUUUUCAAUACCUUAAUAAACUGCUCUUAUUCAGCCCCUUCAGCUAAUCGAUAAACAUUCAUCAUCGAAGUGCCUUAUGGAAGAAACAGGAAUUAAAACUCCCAAGGUUGCAACACUAAACCCAUUAGAGGAACAACACACGCCAAAGAAUAAAAUGAAAUAAACCGUAAUAAAAGUUUGAAUAAUUUCAGACAAAGAAAACGUGCAAUUAGUUAAACAGAAAAUUAUGCCCAAUAUUGAAGUGUCUACACUCUACUCCAAUUUUGACGACGGAAAAUUCAAAUGCCACCAACAUUUAAUUUUCAAUACACAGGUAUAGGGUAUACUGUAACCCAACAAGAAUUCUCCAUUACACAUUCAAGAAAAAAGAUCAACAAAAUUGCCUUCAUACCACCACCUAUAUGUGAAUUAGACAGCAAAUUUAACAAACCCCUCAACUCUAACACUGGAAGGAACAUCAUAAAAAACCCUUUUCAUUUACCUUGAUAUGAAGACUGGAAAUAACUCACUAUCAAGUUACAAAGAGAGAAUUGAAAUGUCG